ensembl:lncRNA
CACACACACACCACCCCACACAUCAACAAAAUGAAGUGGAUGAAGAUCGUCUACACAUCUCUACAAGCUUGUUAGUGAUUACAGAAAGGAACUUGGUGCUGUUUCGCUCUCCAGGACCUGUCAGGCUUAAUUAAUUAAUUACCGGGGUGCCAAUCAUUUUGAAGUCAAUGUUUUGUGGGGAAACAUGUAGCACUAAAACUAUAGAACAUCACUGUCCAGCAGAGUCCUCAACACAGCGCACACAUCAGGACCACAGGGCUGGACAGCUGGACCAGACAAAGAGCUUCCCUGGGCUUCUGGAACGAUCAACUGAAGACAUACAGUAUCAAGCACAACUCAGCCGUUGUUUAGAAGUCUGCUCGGUCUCCUGUUUGUCUGGCUGUAAAAAGGAAUUCAUGCAGAGUCUAUGAACUGGUGAUCUUUCCUCUUGCCUCAUCUCGAAAAAUUGUAUGGCAGCAUCAGAAAGGCAUUGUCUUUGGAAAGCUGUUUGAACGUUCCUGUUGAAAAGUCACUCUGAGAUCUUUUGAUCGUGGAGGAGGAGAAGAAGGGGAACGGAGAACAGAGUGAGAAGGACCAGGAGAUAACUUGUCAUCUGAAAGAUUCAAAAUGGCACUGUUAUUGUUUAAUCGUUUGUAGUUAUUCGCUUGUUUGAACGUUGCAUGUUCUGCGUCUCUUACAUUCAUCAAGGCUGGAGUUGUGCAAUUCCAUAACUCCAAACUGCCUUAACUCCUUAUCUGCAGAUACCAGAGUGUUGCUGUUCAAGAGUAAAUAGUACACAUAAUAGAAUUAUGUCUUCACAUUC